AACUCCAACCCAAUGUGAACGUUACCAAACUGUUGCCUCGGCGGGAUCUCUGCCCCGGGUGCGUCGCAGCCCCGGACCAAGGCGCCCGCCGGAGGACCAACCAAAACUCUUUUGUAUACCCCCUCGCGGGUUUUUAUAUCUGAGCCAUCUCGGCGCCUCUCGUAGGCGUUUCGAAAAUGAAUCAAAACUUUCAACAACGGAUCUCUUGGUUCUGGCAUCGAUGAAGAACGCAGCGAAAUGCGAUAAGUAAUGUGAAUUGCAGAAUUCAGUGAAUCAUCGAAUCUUUGAACGCACAUUGCGCCCGCCAGUAUUCUGGCGGGCAUGCCUGUCCGAGCGUCAUUUCAACCCUCGAACCCCUCCGGGGGGUCGGCGUUGGGGAUCGGCCCUUUACGGGGCCGGCCCCGAAAUACAGUGGCGGUCUCGCCGCAGCCUCUCCUGCGCAGUAGUUUGCACACUCGCAUCGGGAGCGCGGCGCGUCCAUUGCCGUAAAACACCCAACUUUCUGAAAUGUUGACCUCGGAUCAGGUAGGAAUACCCGCUGAACUUAAGCAUAUCAAUAAGCCGGAGGAA
rnacentral:rRNA from 1 species